UACCCUCUAUGCCUUAGGAUAAAUACUAUUAAAUGUUCAGGGACAGUGUCUGAUGGGACAAGCAGGCGCCUCAAAUCAAUGGAAGGCCCCAUGGCUCCUUUAACCUGUUCGAUGGCUUUCCAGUCACGCUACUCAUGACUGAAAAUCAAAGGAAUCAGAACUCUUUUUCUAAUUUGACUAGUCCUCCAAUUGAAAUGGAUCCCUCUGUAUUGGCAGUUCAGUAACAGAUGUUGGACAACAAGUUAUAUUCCUGCUCUACAAAUGGAUUCAGAUGAGUAGACAUGUUUCACCAUUAAUUGAGGACAGCGAAAGCCUUGGUUACAUCUGUAUUUGUUUAGUUUC